UCUGGAAACUNUCUGACUUGAGUGCAGAAGGGGAGAGUGGAAUUCCAUGUGUAGCGGUGAAAUGCGUAGAUAUAUGGAGGAACACCAGUGGCGAAAGCGGCUCUCUGGUCUGUCACUGACGCUGAGGCUCGAAAGCGUGGGUAGCGAACAGGAUUAGAUACCCUGGUAGUCCACGCCGUAAACGAUGAGUGCUAGGUGUUAGGCCCUUUCCGGGGCUUAGUGCCGGAGCUAACGCAAUAAGCACUCCGCCUGGGGAGUACGACCGCAAGGUUGAAACUCAAAGGAAUUGACGGGGGCCCGCACAAGCGGUGGAGCAUGUGGUUUAAUUCGAAGCAACGCGAAGAACCUUACCAGGUCUUGACAUCCCGAUGCUAUUCUUAGAGAUAGGAAGUUACUUCGGUACAUCGGAGACAGGUGGUGCAUGGUUGUCGUCAGCUCGUGUCGUGAGAUGUUGGGUUAAGUCCCGCAACGAGCGCAACCCUUAUUGUUAGUUGCCAUCAUUAAGUUGGGCACUCUAGCGAGACUGCCGGUAAUAAACCGGAGGAAGGUGGGGAUGACGUCAAAUCAUCAUGCCCCUUAUGACCUGGGCUACACACGUGCUACAAUGGUCGGUACAACGAGUUGCGAGCCGGUGACGGCAAGCUAAUCUCUGAAAGCCGAUCUCAGUUCGGAUUGGAGGCUGCAACUCGCCUCCAUGAAGUCGGAAUCGCUAGUAAUCGCGGAUCAGCACGCCGCGGUGAAUACGUUCCCGGGCCUUGUACACACCGCCCGUCACACCACGAGAGUUUGUAACACCCGAAGUCGGUGAGGUAACCUUUUAGGGGCCAGC
rnacentral:rRNA from 1 species